AUGCUGACAUAAGUAACGAUAAAGCGGGUGAAAAGCCCGCUCGCCGGAAGACCAAGGGUUCCUGUCCAACGUUAAUCGGGGCAGGGUGAGUCGACCCCUAAGGCGAGGCCGAAAGGCGUAGUCGAUGGGAAACAGGUUAAUAUUCCUGUACUUGGUGUUACUGCGAAGGGGGGACGGAGAAGGCUAUGUUGGCCGGGCGACGGUUGUCCCGGUUUAAGCGUGUAGGCUGGUUUUCCAGGCAAAUCCGGAAAAUCAAGGCUGAGGCGUGAUGACGAGGCACUACGGUGCUGAAGCAACAAAUGCCCUGCUUCCAGGAAAAGCCUCUAAGCAUCAGGUAACAUCAAAUCGUACCCCAAACCGACACAGGUGGUCAGGUAGAGAAUACCAAGGCGCUUGAGAGAACUCGGGUGAAGGAACUAGGCAAAAUGGUGCCGUAACUUCGGGAGAAGGCACGCUGAUAUGUAGGUGAAGUCCCUCGCGGAUGGAGCUGAAAUCAGUCGAAGAUACCAGCUGGCUGCAACUGUUUAUUAAAAACACAGCACUGUGCAAACACGAAAGUGGACGUAUACGGUGUGACGCCUGCCCGGUGCCGGAAGGUUAAUUGAUGGGGUCAGCGCAAGCGAAGCUCUUGAUCGAAGCCCCGGUAAACGGCGGCCGUAACUAUAACGGUCCUAAGGUAGCGAAAUUCCUUGUCGGGUAAGUUCCGACCUGCACGAAUGGCGUAAUGAUGGCCAGGCUGUCUCCACCCGAGACUCAGUGAAAUUGAACUCGCUGUGAAGAUGCAGUGUACCCGCGGCAAGACGGAAAGACCCCGUGAACCUUUACUAUAGCUUGACACUGAACAUUGAGCCUUGAUGUGUAGGAUAGGUGGGAGGCUUAGAAGUGUGGACGCCAGUCUGCAUGGAGCCGACCUUGAAAUACCACCCUUUAAUGUUUGAUGUUCUAACGUUGACCCGUAAUCCGGGUUGCGGACAGUGUCUGGUGGGUAGUUUGACUGGGGCGGUCUCCUCCUAAAGAGUAACGGAGGAGCACGAAGGUUGGCUAAUCCUGGUCGGACAUCAGGAGGUUAGUGCAAUGGCAUAAGCCAGCUUGACUGCGAGCGUGACGGCGCGAGCAGGUGCGAAAGCAGGUCAUAGUGAUCCGGUGGUUCUGAAUGGAAGGGCCAUCGCUCAACGGAUAAAAGGUACUCCGGGGAUAACAGGCUGAUACCGCCCAAGAGUUCAUAUCGACGGCGGUGUUUGGCACCUCGAUGUCGGCUCAUCACAUCCUGGGGCUGAAGUAGGUCCCAAGGGUAUGGCUGUUCGCCAUUUAAAGUGGUACGCGAGCUGGGUUUAGAACGUCGUGAGACAGUUCGGUCCCUAUCUGCCGUGGG
rnacentral:rRNA from 1 species